rnacentral:tRNA from 1 species
UAAGGAUUUAAGUUAAAUAAACUAAUAACCUUCAAAGUUGUAAAUAGAGGUAAAUCUAAGCCUU